ACGCGCGAAACCUUACCAGGUCUUGACAUCCUCUGACACUCCUAGAGAUAGGACGUUCCCCUUCGGGGGACAGAGUGACAGGUGGUGCAUGGUUGUCGUCAGCUCGUGUCGUGAGAUGUUGGGUUAAGUCCCGCAACGAGCGCAACCCUUGUUCUUAGUUGCCAUCAUUUAGUUGGGCACUCUAAGGAGACUGCCGGUGACAAACCGGAGGAAGGUGGGGAUGACGUCAAAUCAUCAUGCCCCUUAUGACCUGGGCUACACACGUGCUACAAUGGACGGUACAAACGGUUGCCAACCCGCGAGGGGGAGCUAAUCCGAUAAAACCGUUCUCAGUUCGGAUUGUAGGCUGCAACUCGCCUACAUGAAGCCGGAAUCGCUAGUAAUCGCGGAUCAGCAUGCCGCGGUGAAUACGUUCCCGGGCCUUGUACACACCGCCCGU
rnacentral:rRNA from 1 species